rnacentral:lncRNA from 1 species
GAGGUUUUACCUCUCCCUCUUGUUCUCGCUUCUGUAUCUCUCUUACCCACCAUUGUUGUCUGCACCUGUUCGCUCUCCUUUACAUUUAUCUGUAUCACCUUUUUCAGCUCCUAAUUUGUUAAAGCCAUAAACAUGCCUCUGAGAAGCUCCUCGACACCGAUCCUGAACUCAUGGAUGUCCCACUGCAAAGACUCCUCGCCGGAGCCGGAGCCACUCCUCUGUAGAAACAGGUCUGUCUCCCUAUCAUUGUGCACCUUUCACCCACCUACAGCUGACACAACAAAAACCCAAGUCUCCCUAGAAUCCGACAUCAAAAUCCAACAGAAACCCAGAAACAAGAAGCUUAACGUCCCCAUACCUCGAAGCCUCCGGAAGAAAUCGAAAACCAAGGCCGAGAAACCAGAGGAACCGGAAGAGGAGAUAAAACCCACUUCGAGAUUGUGGUUCGGGAGCUGAAAGGCUGUUUUCUAGCUCUGGUUUGGGGGAGAAAAUCAUGGAUGGUGAGGACUAUGGUGGGGGGAAGAAGAAAGAGAGUGUUUUGCAGACGCUGGUGGUGGGGGGCGGUGUGGGGAAUAGUGGCGGGAAGAUUUGCGGCGGCGGCGGUGGCGGGAAAGGAUCAGACGGCGGAGAAGGAAGUGGGUUUGGUUUCUUCGAGGGUAAUAAUCGUGGGAGUGGGAGUACUGAUGCUUAUUAUCAGAAGAUGAUUGAAGCUGACCCGGGAAAUGCUCCUCUUACUUGGCAACUAUGCAAAGUUUUUAAAAGAGGUAAACUUGUAAACUAAACAACACUUUCUUGGAUUAUUGUUUUCUGUUUGGUUGCUGAGAAAAUUUAUGAAAAGAAUGGAGAUUGUCAUCCUUAAUUAAUUGACCAUCUUAUAACGGGAAGUGAUUUUCACGCAUCUAAAGAAAACAACAAAGGUAGAUUACACCGCAAAUUCUAGAUGUUCAUGACACUAGAAAUGUUCACACAAUUGGUCUAAAUAUUUUACGUGAAGAUUUAAUGUUCGAUAAAUUAGGAGUGUUUCUGAUUAGUUGUGACUAAUGCGAAUAGGUCCGAGGAGAUUAUGAGAAAGCAGAGGAGUAUUGUGGAAGAUCAAUCUUGGCGAACCCGAGUGAUGCGAAUACCUUAUCACUGUACGGUGAUCUAAUAUGGAAUGCUCACAGGGAUGCUGAACGAGCUGAGAAUUAUUUGAUCAAGCUGUUAAAACUUCCC